UACGUAGGAUGCAAGCGUUGUCCGGAAUUAUUGGGCGUAAAGAGCGCGCAGGCGGUUUGCCAAGUCAGAUGUGAAAGAGGCCGGCUUAACCGGCAAGGGUCAUUUGAAACUGACAGACUAGAGUGCAGCAGAGGAUAGCGGAAUUCCCGGUGUAGUGGUGAAAUGCGUAGAUAUCGAGAGGAACACCGGUGGCGAAGGCGGCCUUCUGGACAGUGACUGACGCUGAGACGCGAAAGCGUGGGGAGCAAACAGG
rnacentral:rRNA from 1 species